CCUCAGUAACGGCGAGUGAAGCGGCAACAGCUCAAAUUUGAAAUCUGGCCCUUUCAGGGUCCGAGUUGUAAUUUGCAGAGGGUGCUUUGGUGUCGGCCGUGGUCUAAGUUCCUUGGAACAGGACGUCACAGAGGGUGAGAAUCCCGUACGUGGCCGCCGGUCUUCACCGUGUAAAGCCCCUUCGACGAGUCGAGUUGUUUGGGAAUGCAGCUCUAAAUGGGAGAUACAUUUCUUCUAAAGCUAAAUAUUGGCCAGAGACCGAUAGCGCACAAGUAGAGUGAUCGAAAGAUGAAAAGCACUUUGGAAAGAGAGUCAAAAAGCACGUGAAAUUGUUGAAAGGGAAGCGCUUGCAGCCAGACGUGCCCGCAGUUGCUCACCUGGGCUCUCGCCCGGGGCAUUCUUCUGCGGGCAGGCCAGCAUCAGUUCGGGCGGUUGGAUAAAGGCCUCUAUCACGUAUCUUCCUUCGGGAUGACCUUAUAGGGGAGGCGCAACACGACCAGCCUGAACUGAGGACCGCGCAUCAGCUAGG
rnacentral:rRNA from 1 species